GAAAAGAAAGAACAAAAAUCCUAUGGUGAAAAUUCAAGAGAAAAUUGGUGGAUUUCAAGUAAUCAAGCAAUCAAAGGUAAAAUUUAUUGAUUUUGACUUGUGAUCUACCUUUCCUAUACAUUCUUUUGCAUUUUCCAUGGUUGAAUCACAUGAUUUCAUGAUGGGUAUCUUGCUGGCUGAACACCUAGAGAGAGGUUUUUAUGCUGGAUUUGGUUAGAUUUCAAUGUAUUUAAGUGUUUUUAGUUGAUUGGUGAUGUGUAGCAUGAAAAUCAAGCAAGAAAAAUUCAUGUUCUUCCAUCACCCAUCAUUGGCCGAAUUCUCCAUGUGGAAUAUUGAGGAUGAUUUUGAUUUUAUUUCAAGUGAUUUGGUUAGGAAUUAGUGAUUUAUUGUGUGAGAAUCAAGUAGGAGAAAUUAUGGUGUUGAUGCACCCACCAUGGCCGAAUUUUCCAAGAGAAAAUGUGAGGAUGAUUUUGCCAUAUUUCAAGUUAUUUAACUUUUGUUUGAUGGUUUGGAGAAUUGGAAGAAAAAUGGAAUUAAUUAGAGUUAAAUUGGACAUAUUGGCCAAUUAAACUGGUGAUAAAUUGAAUUAGGCCAAUACCGUUUUAUUUAGGUACAUAAUUAAAUUUAUGUUGAACACCGCAUUUAGAUAGUUACCUGAGUAUUUCACAUCCCAUUUCAUGCAUUAGUAUAGAGCUUGAAUUUGUUUUAUAACAAUUUAGCACAAAUGUAUUAAAUGGCUUAUUGUGCAUUAUGUCUAGGUGGUGAGCAUUCUGGUAAAAGUAAAGAGAUAGUACCCGAGGAUCAAGAAUCGGAGUACUCGAAAUUCGACUCCCGAAAUAGUGAGUAACCUUACUAUCGUCUUAAUUAUCUAAAGUAGUUUUUAUUCGUUUUUGUGAUUUUAUAGAAAAAUGUGUUUAAAUGGUAAAUCUUUAGGUUUUAUAAACAAAAUGUGUUUAAAUGAAAUGAUUUUAUAAAUUGUCUUGAAAUUGAAAAAUGGUUUUGAAAAUGGAGUAAUUGGAGACUAAUUGUUGUGUUAUAAAUCAAGGUUUGAAUUGAAUGGCUUAUGAUAAUAUUGGCAUGAAUGGUUGAAUUGGUAUUUGUGUUGAAAAUGUAUAAACUGUUGUUUGCCUUGAUAGGUUGGAUAAUGAUAAAAUUGCCAUGUCAUGCUGUUGAAUUUUAUUGAAUUGGUGGGUUAUUGAUUAGUCGCUG
rnacentral:lncRNA from 1 species